UACGUAGGGGGCAAGCGUUGUCCGGAAUCAUUGGGCGUAAAGCGCGUGUAGGCGGCCCGGUAAGUCCGCUGUGAAAGUCGGGGGCUCAACCCUCGAAUGCCGGUGGAUACUGUCGGGCUAGAGUACGGAAGAGGCGAGUGGAAUUCCUGGUGUAGCGGUGAAAUGCGCAGAUAUCAGGAGGAACACCAAUUGCGAAGGCAGCUCGCUGGGACGUCACUGACGCUGAGACGCGAAAGCGUGGGGAGCAAACAGG
rnacentral:rRNA from 1 species